GAUUUCAAUUCAAUUUCUAAAUUUUGAUUACAAUUUAUCAUCGAUAGACAAUUAAAGAUCAAAAUGGUUGAUAUUUUUAAAGGUAUGUAUUUUAACUUGGUGUUUGGGAUCCAAAUUAAUCCAAUUAUCACAAUAUUGAAGACUAGAUACAAUCAACACGAACGCCAGGAAAAGGUAUAUCGGGUAUAAUGUCUUUGGUUAUAUUCCAAUUUCGAUAAGUUUGACUUGCAUUGAGGAAAUUGAAAAUCUCUGGAAAAUCAUUUGCUGUAUAAUCAUGUUCCGGAGUUUUCAAUAUAACAUGAUCACCAAAUACCUUUGGAUUAGACAAAGAUUCCCAUGUUGUCACCUAUUAACAAUAUUUUGCCCCGAAACAAACACAAACAACCCCAAAGGUAAAAGGUUAAUUUCAUCUUCUACUCACCAACUGCAAUAGCUUUUAAAGCCUUCAUGGAACCACCAAAAGGAGCUGCAACCGUUAUGAGACGAUCAAUAUAUUUAUCCUUCCAUACCUGAGGUUUAUCAUUCAAAUAAGCUAAUAUUAUAUUACAACCAAGAGAAUGACAAACCAAUGCUGAUUUACGAUUAUCAUUGAUUAGAUAUGUUUCGUAGACAAGUAGAUCUAAUUCCAGGAAAUAACUAUCUUUAAGUUCAUCUAAAAGAAAAGGGAUAAUAACAGAGAUAAUUAAAUCUGGCGGAUUAGUGGUGAUAUUGUUACAAUUAACUUACAAGAAUCAAGAAAUUGGUAAGGAUCCAAAUCUUCAAUGGAAAAUGUGUCACCAAAACUUGCAGUUUUAGCGAGAAC